GGUGAUCACAGCCUCUGGGACCAGGGUCGCUCGGUCCGUGCUCCGCCUCGCCAUGACUUCCUACAGCUAUCGCCAGUCGUCCACGUCGUCCUUCGGGGGCCUGGGCGGCGGCCCCGUGCGUUUUGGGCCGGGUGUCGCCUUUCGCGCACCUAGCAUACACUGGGGCUCCGGCGGCCGCGGCGUGUCCGUGUCCACCACUCGCUUCGUGUCCUCGUCCUCCUCGGGGGGCUACGGCGGCGGCUAUGGCGGCAUCCUGGCCACUUCCGACGGGCUGCUGGCGGGCAACGAGAAGCUCACCAUGCAGAACCUCAACGACCGCCUGGCCUCCUACCUGGACAAGGUGCGCGCCCUGGAGGCGGCCAACGGCGAGCUGGAGGUGAAGAUCCGCGACUGGUACCAGAAGCAGGGGCCCGGGCCCUCCCGCGACUACAGCCACUACUACAAGACCAACCAGGACCUGCGGGACCAGAUUCUUGGUGCCACCAUUGAGAACUCCAGGAUUGUCCUGCAGAUUGACAAUGCCCGUCUGGCUGCAGAUGACUUCCGAACCAAGUUUGAGACGGAGCAGGCUUUGCGCGUGAGCGUGGAGGCCGACAUCAACGGCUGCGCAAGGUGCUGGAUGAGCUGACCCUGGCCAGGACUGACCUGGAAAUGCAGAUUGAAGGGCUGAAGGAAGAGCUGGCCUACCUGAAGAAGAACCAUGAGGAGGAACUCAGUGUGCUGAGGGGCCAAGUGGGAGGCCAGGUCAGUGUGGAGGUGGAUUCAGCUCCAGGCACCGAUCUCGCCAAGAUCCUGAGUGACAUGCGAAGCCAAUAUGAGGUCAUGGCCGAGCAGAACCGGAAGGAUGCUGAAGCCUGGUUCACCAGCCGGACUGAAGAACUGAACCGGGAGGUCGCUGUCCACAGAGAGCAGCUCCAGAUGAGCAACACCGAGGUCAGUGACCUGCGGCGCACCCUCCAGGGUCUUGAGAUUGAGCUGCAGUCACAGCUGAGCAUGAAAGCCGGCUUGGAAGGCACACUGGCAGAAACGGAGGCGCGCUUUGGAGCCCAGCUGGCGGAGAUCCAGGCGCGGAUCAGUGGUAUUGAAGCCCAGCUGGGCGAUGUGCGGGCUGAUAGUGAGCGGCAGAAUCAGGAGUACCAUCGGCUCUUGGACGUCAAGUCGCGGCUGGAGCAGGAGAUCGCCACCUACCGGAGCCUGCUGGAGGGCCGGGAAGAUCGCUACAACAACCUGUCUGCCUCCAAGGUCCUCUGAGAAGGCAGCAGGCCCGGGGCUUCUGUUGUCCUUUGGAGGGUGUCUCCUGGGUGAGGCGAUGGGAAGGAAGGGACCCUUAUCCCCGGCACGUCCCUUGACCUGCCAAUAAAAUUUUAUGGUUCAAGGGAAAAAAAAAAAAAAG